AUGUUGGCUUGGGCAUUUACUUGUAUUCCAGUUUCUAUCCAAAUCUAGUGUGAUAACACUUUUACUCAAAAUUAACCAUUUAGCGAAUAAGCAUGUCAGGUAUUUUGCUACAGUAUGGUGGAUGCGUUCAAAUGAAGUCACUUUAUAAAUGUGAAACUUCCAUUUUCUUUUCUAAGAACAACACUGUAUCUAUUUGCAUUUAUACUCAGUUUAUACCAACAACUAAUUCUUUUUUUUCCUUAAAAACGUGAAAGGGAGAGAGCUUCCAAUGCACUGUGGCCAGCAGUGAGCACUUGCAGGAGGAAACUUCAUCCCAACUGCCACGUGCUUCUGGAAAAAAGUCCUUAUGAGGAGAGCAGGAGUGAAGUCUGUGGGAUAUACAAACAUAGCUGAAAAACCCCUGAAAUACUGAGGGUACUAAACAAUAAGCUGAAUAGUCAAACCCCAUGCCACAGCAUACUGCAAAGCAGCUCAAUACUGUUUCUACAACUUACCCAUUUGGCUAGAGCUUCUCUGAUAGUUGUUGCUUUCGCCUAAAAGAUGAAAAAGAAAACGUAAAUGAAUA